AUGUGCAAAGCAGGAGCUGUGUCGCAUAUUGUGUACCUGUGCUCUGAGGACCCAUCGUCGGACAAGAAAGAGGCUAUACCAGCCUGCAUCCAGGAAGUUCUGGUCGAGUUUCCAGCAGUGUUUGGCGAACCGGAUGGACUACCACCGAGGUGUGAAUGUGAUCACCGCAUUCCUCUCAUCCCGGGCGCGCAACCUAUCAACAUUCAUCCUUAUAGGCAUAAACCUGAUCAGAAGGAUGAAAUCGACCGGCAAGUGUAAGAACUGUUGAAGGCAGACAUUAUUCAAAAGAGUCCCAGUCAAGAAAAAGGAUGGGAUGUGGCGUUUAUGUGUGGAUUACCGCCACCUUAA
rnacentral:rRNA from 1 species